ACCUCGGUUGGCCGCGUGGGUCAGAGUGUCGGUCUCCUGAUCAGCCGCCGUGCGCUGUGCGGGUUCGAGUCCCGUCCCAGGAG